rnacentral:lncRNA from 1 species
CAGGCCGACAUAGAUGAAUGCCUCUCCGGUAUGUGGCCGCUGACCGCACACAUCGCUCGGGUGGCUAGACUACAACUUUGAGCGCCGACCAUGCCCUUGCCUAGCGCCGGAUCAUCGACAGGCCGACGCUUAUCCAAGGUAUACCAUAUUGCUAUUAUGAAAUUCAACCACUUUGAGCUAUACAAAAUCGUCAUCGUCCUAAAAAUUUCAACUGCAUUUGUUACAAACAAUUAAUUGGAUCAAAAAAAUUCAAGCAAAGGGGCCACACGACCCCUAUUUUCAUUAAAGAAAAUGGUGUUUGGGAUUAAUUGGAUCAAUGUGAUUGGCUUUUAGUUUAUAGUACCAGGGUACGGAUUUUAAACCCAAAGGAUUCUUAUAUUUGACUGAAAUAUUCCCAUAGGAAUCAUUGCAGGACUUCUUCUACAUUUUAUCUUCAUUUGAGUUGAAAUGAAAGGUAGAUCACGCUCUACCUUGUAUAUUUCAAAACAGGCCGUAGCCCGGAGACCAAAGGUCCAUUACAUGAGGCUUAUGUUCUACACCAAGGUGCGUAGGCCAUAAGCUGCCUAGGGAACGGGAAAGAACAACAGAGGGGAGCAAGAACAGAAGUGAAACAAAGCUAAACAACUACAGUAGCUUGAUCAACAUUAUGCUCGUAAGCUAUGCAACCAAAGUAGGACAACUUGUUUGUACUCUGGACUCCUUGCCCGGUGGCUCCAUAACUUGAGAAGAUUUGAUGCGUACAAUCGAACAUAAGCUGGAGUCCAAAAUUUCUUGUUGAAAAUCCUAUCAUUCCGGGCGUGCUAAAGAGUACAGCAGCGGCAGCAACGAGUACAUGCCAGACAACCGACGCCGGAUUGUCUUAUGUGAUCGUAUGCGCAUUUGCUCACAUCAUUGCAAAUUCAAGAUUUUUGGAUUCCUGUAAAAUUAAUAAAGUUAUGAUAUGUAUCACACAUUUUCGAAUUUUGUCUUUGUGCCUUUUAGAAUCCAUCAUUCCCAAAAAAAACUAUAUUUUUUCAAAAUCAAACACGAAGAAGUGAUUGUAUAGUUGUAUGCAUGCAAAGCAUGCACCUCCUAA